rnacentral:rRNA from 1 species
GACAGAGGGUGCAAACGUUGUUCGGAUUUACUGGGCGUAAAGCGCGUGUAGGCGGCUUGGCAAGUCGGAUGUGAAAGCCCACGGCUCAACCGUGGAAGCGCAUCCGAAACUGCUUCGCUCUAGUCUCGGAGAGGAAGGUGGAAUGCUUGGUGUAGAGGUGAAAUUCGUAGAUAUCAAGCAGAACACCUGCGGCGAAGGCGGCCUUCUGGACGAUGACUGACGCUGAGACGCGAAAGCGUGGGGAGCAAACAGG